rnacentral:tRNA from 1 species
CGGAGCGUGGCGCAGCCCGGUAGCGCACCUGCUUCGGGAGCAGGGGGUCGCGGCGGGUUCAAAUCCCGUCGCUCCGA